AUGGGACACAUUGGGGGAACUGUGAAGAAUGUGUUUGAGAAAUGCAUAAGGGGUAUUUAUUACUACCAUUUUGCUUCUUAUUUUCCUUGUAUCUCCUUUGCUCAACUGGACUGUAGGCUCCUUCAAAGAAGAGCAAUGUCAAAUCUCAAUUUUAUCCCCUUACUACAACUAGCACAGCUGUUCAAUUACAACACUGAGCUGCUUGUCACUGGAGGAUGUUCCCGCAGUCAGAGAAACCUUUGGAGCCAGGGGCUGUAUCUUAUUCACCUUUAUUCUCAUCUGGAACCUAUCUUAGUGACUGGAAAACUUUUUGAAUAAAUGAAUACAUGUAUGCUCUUUCUAUUUCUCCAAAUACAUUCAGUAGCAACCUAACCAUUAUACCAAUCACACUAACACAAACCUUAACACUUGUAAGAUUAUUACAUUUGACAAAGUGCUUUUUGUCUGUUAUCUAAUUUGAUUCUCACAACAAUUCUGGAGGUACAAUGUUAGUCUCAUUUUAUGCCAAAGGAAACUGAGGCUUAGAGGUCUAGUGUCUUGUUCAAGGUCGCAUGGAGAGUCAGUGAAGAAGCUUGGAGUAGGAUCCAACUCUCCUGAUUCCUAGUCGUGAACCAAGAGCUGCACUUAGCACAUCAGGGGACAAAAACAGAAAGGUGGUGCGUGGCUCCUGCUCUCAAACUAUGAUCUAAUUGUAGAGGUAAGUUAUACCAUCCAAUGUGUGGAAACAAGGUACAGGUACUCAGGAAAUAGGUAAUGGAUGAGGUGGUAUGGGCUAAUGUCGCCAUUUGUGACUGCUCUGGCAUUUCAGGAAAGGAAGUGAUCCCAAAGGCCUGUGGGAGAUUAGAGAAGUCCUCAGAGAGCAGGUGGGAGCCAAACUGGCACUGGAGGGUGAGUGUGAUUUUGGUAGGUAGCAAAAACACCAUUAUUGUGAAGUCAAGCAAUUUUAACGCUGGAAGAAACUUACAGGUGAUCACCUCCUACCCCUUCAUUUUAUAGACAAGGAAACUGAAAUGGAAAGAAAUGAGGGACUGGUUCAAUAUUGUAAAGCCAUUUACAGUACUUUUGUGUAGAUACUAGGGACACAAGGCAGGUAAGACAGAGUCCCUGCCCUCAGAAGAUCCCCAAGCUAGUAGGAGGGACAUGGGAAUGAGUAGGUGCAUUCAAGUGUCACAGAGGUAAUGGUAGAGUCUAUGUGGAGCCUAUUGCAGUUGCAAAAGAGAGGGCACUCAUUUUAUAGAGUAACACACUCAAAGCUCAAAAGAUUUCCUUUGAACUGGUCAAGGUCAAUCAAGUUCAGGUAGAAAAUGCCAAAAUCUAUCUCCUAACUUCUGAAACCACUGACUAGAACUUCUGCCUAGGAAUGGAUUAAACUGGAACAAUGAGAGAGGCAGACACUGAAUCUGGAGUCUGAAGGCUGAGGUCUAGUUCUGGCUCUGCCUCUUUCUGGCUGUGUGGCCUUGGGCUUGCUACUCUCACUUCUAGGAGCAUCAGUUCUUUCAUUAUAAAACGGAGCAAGGGGCAACUUUGCCCCUUUUCAGGAUGGGGAUGAUCAGAGGAAACAUCUAAGCAUAAGAGCUUAGUUAAUUAUAAAGGGAUAAAGCAAUAUAUAUGUUAAUUGUUGUUAUUCCUUCUGUGUAGAGCUUGAUGCAGAAGAAAAAGUUCUGGAUUGUAGUUGAGUCUCCUCUCUGGGCCCUUGCUUUCUUGUCUAUGGAACGAUGUGAUACCUGUCCCAUCUACCUUACAGAAAUGGUGUAAAGUGAAAAAUACCCACGAUAAUAAAAUGAUUGAUGUAAACA
rnacentral:lncRNA from 1 species